AUACCUGAAUAUGGUGUUGACUCUUGAAUCUCAUCAAGCCUCUAACCAUUUAACCUUUGGCUUUCCUGACCCACUUCUCGCAAUUCCAUGUGGGUCUUUAUUAUUCAGCCUUUACCAUUUACCCUUCCUAUUCAUGGACCAUGUGACUUUAACAUCAGAUUAAUAGAAGAGUGCCUCAGUGGCCACUUUGGCACUUUGGUCUCCUCACAUCACUGCUGUUCAAUGGGGGCACUGCUGGCAUUGAGAGAGCAGGUCUGUGGUCCUUGGACUGAAAGAGUUUGAACAUCCUGGCCUCCAUCGCUGAGAACCAGCACUACCAGGGAUUUACAAUAAGCAAAAAUGUCCCCCCAAAUUUCCAAGUGGCUCCUUGUUGAGUCACACUGCUUGAGAUCUGCCUUUAGAUCUUUCAGAAACACACAUUUUCUCCCUAAAUGGGAUUGUUUGUGCCUCUGUCAAUACACUGUUUCUUUUUUGAAGGCUUGUCAUAUUUUAAAGUCAUUCUUCCUUUUAAAGUUUUUUUUUUUUUUUAGCCUUGGAAUGAGUCAUACAUUAUUUUAUUUUGUUUUCUUUUGUUUUACUUAUUAUUAUGGGAAAUGUGGAACACACACAAAUAGCGUAGUAUAAGGAACCCCCAUGGAUCCAUCACCUCGUUUUAACAAUUAUGACCUCAUAGACAUUCCUGUUUUUUUCUAUACAGCCACCUACGAUUCUCCACCUACUCCCCCCCACUGCCAUUAGGUAAUUUUGAAGCAAAUCACAGACAUCAUUCAUGCCAAGAGGGGACAAAAGCUGAAUUAUAAGCCCACACAAUUUAUGGUUCUUCAGGUUUGCCGCUUGGAUGUCUACAACCAUGUCAACUCACUACUAAGUCAGCUGCAAAUUACUCGGUUCCCAACCUAAUAUUUGGUGUACAAAUGAGGGCACCGUGCUCUGUAAAGUUGUUCUUGCACAGUUGUGUCUGCCUCAGCAGGGAAAAUGUGGAAGCCAGGAAUUCCCACUUGCUCCUUUGUUCUUACCUUCCUAGACAAUCCUACCAAAUCAUUGCAACUUGGUGCAGAGGAAGAACAGCGUGAGCUGGGAAUUGGCUACUGUUCUAUGCUUGUAUGAUGAAUAGAUCAAAGAGAAUUAUGGAGGAAUCCAUUACUUUAAGCCAGAAAAAGCCGAAGAAGUUACAGACUACAUUAAGUAUAAACUGCAAACUAAUUGGCCAUCUUGGAAAUAUCAUAGUUUUUCAGAUUAUUAUAAAGUUCCAAAGCCCUACUGUAUCUUUUUACACAUAAAGAAAUCGAUAAGCCCUACUGUAUCUUUUUACACAUAAAGAAAUUUAAGACUAAAAAUAAGAUAAUUCAUUUAAGCUCACAAUAUUAUUUGGUCUUAUUUUGGGGAGCUGUCAAGUAAAAUAACAAAUUAAAAAGGGCUAAUCUUCCAAAAUAGAGUACAGCGACCUUUUCCUUUUUUUUUUUUCUUAAAUGCGUUGGGCCAAUUUUUUUUUAAGU